rnacentral:rRNA from 1 species
CCUACGGGGAGGCAGCAGUGGGGGAAUCUUGCGCAAGUGGGCGAAAGCCUGACGCAGCCAUGCCGCGUGAAUGAUGAAGGUCUUAGGAUUGUAAAAUUCUUUCACCGGGGACGAUAAUGACGGUACCCGGAGAAGAAGCCCCGGCUAACUUCGUGCCAGCAGCCGCGGUAAUACGAAGGGGGCUAGCGUUGCUCGGAAUUACUGGGCGUAAAGGGAGCGUAGGCGGAUAGUUUAGUCAGAGGUGAAAGCCCAGGGCUCAACCUUGGAAUUGCCUUUGAUACUGGCUAUCUUGAGUAUGGGAGAGGUAUGCGGAACUCCGAGUGUAGAGGUGAAAUUCGUAGAUAUUCGGAAGAACACCAGUGGCGAAGGCGGCAUACUGGCCCAUUACUGACGCUGAGGCUCGAAAGCGUGGGGUAGCAAACAGGAUUAGAUACCCUGGUAGUCCACGCCGUAAACGAUGAGUGCUAGUUGUCGGCAUGCNUGCNUGUCGGUGACGCAGACUACGACAUAGUCGACGUCCGCCGUCGGGUAGGUACGGUCGGCGAGAAGUUAAACGUACGUUAAAGAAGUAGUUAGGACGUGAGACGNGCGACGGACGACGACGAGGGAGGAGG